UUUUUUUUUUUUUUUCAUUAUGUUUUGUUGGCUAAUUUCAUGUAUCUAAUGAGAUUCCUUUAGGCUGUUUUUCUAAUCUGAGAUUUCUGAAGUGUGUCAAUUUCAAAGGUUGCUAAAACAUUGAAUAUCUAUGUUUAAGAAGAGUAAUUGUUUUAUAAAAGUUUUAUCAUGAACUAAGAUAAUAAAUAGAAUCUUGUGCUAACUCAGAUUUUGUAUUCCGUUCUCUUUCCCUACUAUCUUUAACUUCCUUCGUUAGUGUUGUUUAAUAGAUCUCUCUUCAUGGUAAAAUUUUAAAAGCAAUGCUAGAUUGCAAGGCAUUUAUAUCUCAUUCUUUU
rnacentral:misc_RNA from 1 species